CAGUAGCCGCGGUAAUACGUAGGGUGCAAGCGUUAAUCGGAAUUACUGGGCGUAAAGCGUGCGCAGGCGGUUAUAUAAGACAGAUGUGAAAUCCCCGGGCUCAACCUGGGAACUGCAUUUGUGACUGUAUAGCUAGAGUACGGCAGAGGGGGAUGGAAUUCCGCGUGUAGCAGUGAAAUGCGUAGAUAUGCGGAGGAACACCGAUGGCGAAGGCAAUCCCCUGGGCCUGUACUGACGCUCAUGCACGAAAGCGUGGGAAGCAAACAGGAUUAGAUACCCCUGUAGUCCCUGUCUCUUAUAC
rnacentral:rRNA from 1 species